rnacentral:tRNA from 1 species
GGCCCGGUAGCUCAGUCGGUAGAGCAGCGGACUUUUAAUCCGUUGGUCGGGGGUUCGAUUCCCCCCCGGGUCAC